UCCGGUUGAUCCUGCCGGAGGUUACUGCUAUCGGGGUUGGACUAAGCCAUGCGAGUUUAAUGUAGCAUUACAUGGUGUACUGCUCAUUAACACGUGGACAACCUACCCUCGAGACGGGGAUAAACCCGGGAAACUGGGUAUAAUACCCGAUAGAUCUCGACUGCUGGAAUGCAUCGAGCUCCAAAGCUCCGGCGCUCAAGGAUGGGUCUGCGGCCUAUCAGGUAGUAGUGGGUGUAGCGUACCUACUAGCCUACGACGGGUACGGGUUGUGAGAGCAAGAGCCCGGAGAUGGAUUCUGAGACACGAAUCCAGGCCCUACGGGGUGCAGCAGGCGCGAAAACUUUACAAUGCUGGAAACAGCGAUAAGGGGACCUCGAGUGCCAGGUUACAAAUCUGGCUGUCGUGAUGUCUAAAAAGCAUUGCAUAGCAAGGGCCGGGCAAGACCGGUGCCAGCCGCCGCGGUAACACCGGCGGCUCGAGUGGUAACCGUUAUUACUGGGUCUAAAGGGUCUGUAGCCGGCCGGAUAAGUCUCUUGGGAAAUCUGGCAGCUUAACUGUCAGGCUUUCAGGAGAUACUGUCUGGCUCGAGGCCGGGAGAGGUGAGAGGUACUUCAGGGGUAGGGGUGAAAUCUUGUAAUCCUUGAAGGACCACCAGUGGCGAAGGCGUCUCACCAGAACGGACCUGACGGAAAGGGACGAAAGCUAGGGGCACGAACCGGAUUAUAUACCCGGGUAGUCCUAGCCGUACACGAUACUCGCUAGGUGUCGGCCACGGCGCGACCGUUGUCGGUGCCGUAGAGAAGCCGUGAAGCGAGCCACCUGGGAAGUACGGCCGCAAGGCUGAUACUUAAAGGUAGUGGGCGGGGGAGCAUCACACGGGUGGAGCUUGCGGCUUAGUAGGAUUCA
rnacentral:rRNA from 1 species